rnacentral:rRNA from 1 species
CAUCUGGGCAACUGGGUGAGGGAAGUGGCGAAAGGGGCAGUAAAGCGUGGGUAACCUACCCCGGGGACUGGGAUAGCCUUCCUAACGGAAGGGUAAUACCGGGCGAUCUGGCGAGGGGGCAUCUUCUUGCCAGGAAAUGAAUUUCGCCUCGGGAGGGGCUCACGUAGUAUUAGCUUGUUGGUGAGGUAACGGCUCACCAAGGCCAAGAUGCUUAGCGGGUGUGAGAGCACGACCCGCGCCACUGGCACUGUGACACUGGCCAGACUCCUACGGGAGGCUGCAGUCGAGAAUCUUCGGCAAUGGGCGCAAGCCUGACCGAGCGACGCCGCGUGUGCGAUGAAGGCCUUCGGGUUGUAAAGCACUGUCGAGGGGAAGAAAAGCCCACAAGGUUUGAUCGACCCCUGGAGGAAGCACGGGCUAAGUUCGUGCCAGCAGCCGCGGUAAGACGAACCGUGCGAACGUUGUUCGGAUUCACUGGGCUUAAAGGGCGCGUAGGCGGACGGUCAAGUCAGGGGUGAAAGCCUCCAGCUCAACUGGAGAAGUGCCUUUGAUACUGGCCGUCUCGAGGGAGGUAGGGGCAUGUGGAACUUCCGGUGGAGCGGUGAAAUGCGUAGAUAUCGGAAGGAACGCCGGUGGCGAAAGCGACGUGCUGGACCUCUUCUGACGCUGAGGCGCGAAAGCUAGGGGAGCGAACGGGAUUAGAUACCCCGGUAGUCCUAGCCCUAAACGAUGAGUAMUASAUUGUGGACUUAACAUGGGUUCACAGUCGAAGCA